ACGCUCGACACCUACGGGAGGCAGCAGUUAGGAAUAUUGGGCAAUGGAGGGAACUCUGACCCAGCAACGCCGCGUGAAGGAAGAAGGUUUUCGGAUUGUAAACUUCUGAUCUAAGGGAAGAAGAAAGUGACGGUACCUUAGGAGAAAGCCACGGCUAACUACGUGCCACAGCCGCGGUAAUCUGAGCGGGCUGGCAAGGC
rnacentral:rRNA from 1 species